UACGUAGGGUGCAAGCGUUAUCCGGAAUUAUUGGGCGUAAAGAGCUCGUAGGCGGUUUGUCGCGUCUGCUGUGAAAACCCGAGGCUCAACCUCGGGCCUGCAGUGGGUACGGGCAGACUUGAGUUCGGUAGGGGAGACUGGAAUUCCUGGUGUAGCGGUGAAAUGCGCAGAUAUCAGGAGGAACACCGGUGGCGAAGGCGGGUCUCUGGGCCGAUACUGACGCUGAGGAGCGAAAGCGUGGGGGAGCGAACAGGG
rnacentral:rRNA from 1 species